rnacentral:tRNA from 2 species
GGGGCCGUACAUUAAGUCUGGCAAAUACGACGACUUAUCAAUCAUCGGUUGGGAGUUCGAAUCUCCCCGGCUCCA